rnacentral:rRNA from 1 species
UACGAAGGGGGCUAGCGUUGCUCGGAAUCACUGGGCGUAAAGGGUGCGUAGGCGGGUCUUUAAGUCAGGGGUGAAAUCCUGGAGCUCAACUCCAGAACUGCCUUUGAUACUGAGGAUCUUGAGUACGGGAGAGGUGAGUGGAACUGCGAGUGUAGAGGUGAAAUUCGUAGAUAUUCGCAAGAACACCAGUGGCGAAGGCGGCUCACUGGCCCGUAACUGACGCUGAGGCACGAAAGCGUGGGGAGCAACCAGG